CCUACGGGUGGCAGCAGUGAGGAAUAUUGGUCAAUGGACGCAAGUCUGAACCAGCCAUGCCGCGUGCAGGAAGACGGCUCUAUGAGUGGUAAACUGCUUUUGUACGAGGGUAAACGCAGAUACGCGUAUCUGUCUGAAAGUAUCGUACGAAUAAGGAUCGGAUAACUCCGUGCCAUCAGACGCUGUAAUAAGGAGGAUUCAAGCGUUAUCCGGAUUUAUAGGGUUUAAAGGGUGCGUAGGCGGUCGGGUAAGUUAGAGGUGAAAUCACUAGGCUCAACUUCGGAAUUGCAGCUGAUACGGUUCGGAUAGAGAGUAGUAGCGGUAUGCGGAAUUCAUGGUGUAGCGGUGAAAUGCUUAGAGAUCAUACAGAACACCGAUUGCGAAGGCAGCUUACCAAGCUACUUCUGACGUUGAGGCACGAAAGCGUGGGGAGCAAACAGGAUUAGAUACCCUGGUAGUC
rnacentral:rRNA from 1 species